rnacentral:rRNA from 1 species
CUAGGGAGGCAGCAGUGGGGAAUAUUGGACAAUGGGCGAAAGCCUGAUCCAGCCAUGCCGCGUGUGUGAAGAAGGCCUUCGGGUUGUAAAGCACUUUCAGUGGGGAAGAAAGCCUUGGGGCUAAUACCCUCGAGGAAGGACAUCACCCACAGAAGAAGCACCGGCUAACUCCGUGCCAGCAGCCGCGGUAAUACGGAGGUUGCGAGCGUUAAUCGGAAUUACUGGGCGUAAAGCGCGCGUAGGCGGUCUGAUAAGCCGGUUGUGAAAGCCCCGGGCUCAACCUGGGAACGGCAUCCGGAACUGUCAGGCUAGAGUGCAGGAGAGGAAGGUAGAAUUCCCGGUGUAGCGGUGAAAUGCGUAGAGAUCGGGAGGAAUACCAGUGGCGAAGGCGGCCUUCUGGACUGACACUGACGCUGAGGUGCGAAAGCGUGGGUAGCAAACAGGAUUAGAUACCCGGGUAGUC